AGCGAACGCUGGCGGCAGGCCUAACACAUGCCAGUCGAACGAACCUUUCGGGGUUAGUGGCGGACGGGUGAGUAACACGUGGGAACGUGCCUUUAGGUUCGGAAUAACUCAGGGAAACUUGUGCUAAUACCGAAUGUGCCCUUCGGGGGAAAGAUUAAUCGCCUUUAGAGCGGCCCGCGUCUGAUUAGCUAGUUGGUUGAGGUAAUGGCUCACCAAGGCGACGAUCAGUAGCUGGUCUGAGAGGAUGAUCAGCCACAUUGGGACUGAGACACGGCCCAAACUCCUACGGGAGGCAGCAGUGGGGAAUCUUGCGCAAUGGGCGAAAGCCUGACGCAGCCAUGCCGCGUGAAUGAUGAAGGGCUUAGGAUUGUAAAAUUCUUUCACCGGGGACGAUAAUGACGGUACCCGGAGAAGAAGCCCCGGCUAACUUCGU
rnacentral:rRNA from 1 species